rfam:Lactococcus piscium MKFS47 genome assembly, chromosome: I
UUUGCUAUACUAGAUAUUGCUUGUAAUGAGCCCUUCGUACUUUCUCACUUUGACGGAGCAUAUUAAAAUCGCGGGAGCGAUAAAGGAGAUUCAUUUG